rnacentral:rRNA from 1 species
UACGGAGGAGGCAAGCGUUAUCCGGAAUUAUUGGGCGUAAAGCGUCCGCAGGUGGCACUUCAAGUCUGUCGUCAAAGACUGGGGCUUAACCCUGGAAAGGCGGUGGAUACUGGCAGGCUAGAGUACGGUAGAGGAUGGUGGAAUUCCCGGUGUAGCGGUGAAAUGCGUAGAGAUCGGGAGGAACACCCGUGGCGAAGGCGGCCAUCUGGACCAGUACUGACGCUGAGGCACGAAAGCGUGGGGAGCAAACAGG